CACGACGAAGCCAGGGAAGAAAGUCCGGGCAGCUGCCAUUUCCGUUUUCCCUCUGGGCUGAGGAUGGGGCGAGGCCUUCUCCCGGCGCUCUUGGUGCUGCUGCUGCUGCUGCUGCUGCCCGUGCUGCUGAGGGGAGAGGAGGCGUCGCCCAGGAGCAGCCCGCCCUUGCAGUCCCCCGUUGGGGGUGCAAAGAUUACUGCAGACGCAGACCGCAGCCAGGAAAUCCAAAGACACUUACUUCUUGGGAGGAGAGCAAUGACCAAUCUUGAUAAAAUAGUGAAGAGCAGAGACAUCACACUGGCAACAAAGAUCUGCAUAGUCAAAGCACCUACGGAUGUGAGAGCUGGACCAUAAGGAAGGCUGAGUGAAGGAAGGUAGAUGCUUUUGAACUGUGGUGCUGGAGGAAAGUGCUGAGAGUGCCUUGGACCGCCAGAAGAUCCAACCAGUCCAUCCUCCAGGAAAUAAAGCCCGACUGCUCAUUGGAGGGAAAGAUAGCAGAGGCCAAGAUGAAGUAUUUUGGCCACAUCAUGAGAAGGAAACCUUAGGGAAGACAAUGAUGCUGGGGAAAAUGGAAGGAAAAGAGAAGAGGGGCCGAGCAAGGGCAAUAUGGUUGGAUCUCAUCCUUGAAGUGACUGGAUUGACCUUGAAGGAGCUGGGGUGGUGACGGCUGACAUGGAGCUCUGGCGUGGGCUGGUCCAUGAGGUCACAAAGAGUCGGAAACGACUCAACGAAUGAACAAAAACAACAAAUGAAUCGUAAUGUAAAUAUCUGAUAUACAGGAUGUAUUUUCAUUCACUGGACCAAAUUUGGCACAAAUACUCAAUAAAUGUGAACGCUGGCGAAGUUUGGGGGAAAUAGA